UCAUCAUAACCCUUCCAACAGUUAUGGUCAAAUUUACUCAUUCCUUCAAUGACAGCCUGUUUGUGGGAAAGUCACCAAAGUCUUUAGGACUUAUCCUCUGGAAACCAUGAAUGUCUGUAUAAAGUGAUACACUGAUGUGUUUUCAGUGGAUCUGACUUUACAUUGUGAGCAUGCUAAUAUUUGCUCACUAGUAAACAUUCAUUCAGGACCCCAUUUCACUAGCUAACUGAAACUUUGACCUGCUAGUAGGGCAACAGGAAAUGUAGAUCUCAAAGCAAAGCUGUCUUCUCUGCAGCUGGUGGCCACACCAGACCACCCAGUUUCAGCAGGUCAAGCAGUCCACCUUCACUGUAGUGCUUCUUCAACACCAAAGUUAGUCAUUUGGUCCUGGCAGAGUCUGAAAAAUCAAACCUGGAAGGACGUGGGCAACAAAAGGGACCUGACACUCAGCAAGCCAGAACAGAGUGGACUGUAUCGCUGCCGUGCCAAGAGCUACUCAUCUUCAUGGAAGAAGAGUUUAAACCAUACAGUCUUUAUCAUCGCCAUACAGCCAACAGUUGGUGAGAAUUUAGGGAUCGCUGCCUUCGCUCUUGUACUCCUGGUCUUGAUGAUCAACCUCACUGUUCUUUCUUGGAUGGGCUGGAAAAAGUUUGGUGACAAAAUGAACACCACUAUGACUGAAGCUAAAGUGGGUGCUGGACACGAAAAGCCUCCAAAGGGAGGUUUGCAACAGACUGACACUGAAGGAGAAGUAUACAUGAAUUACACAAACACCAACCAAGCCUACAGUGAUCUGGACCCUGCCAGUAUGACUGAUGACAAUGUGUACUCAAGCCUGUCAUAAAUGUUGGGGGGUAAGGUGGAGAUGUGCAAUAACAAGAGGACUAAUGACUAACAGGAAGUGAAAUAUAUUUCAAGAUAGGUAAUAUCUCUGUAGAGCUCAGCAUUCCAUUUAACCUGAUGUAUGAAGUUAUUUUGUUAUAUGUCCACUGAUUGAACCUGAUUUUGUACAACUUAACUCACAUGGUUUGAAUAUGGUACAACCCACAGAUGUACUCUGCCUGUGUAAAAAUGUUGCUCUUAAACCCUUUAAUACAAUUUUUUUAUAAUAACUGUUCUCUCUCUUUUUUUUUUUUA